AGAGUUUGAUCCUGGCUCAGAUUGAACGCUGGCGGCAUGCCUAACACAUGCAAGUCGAACGGAAACGACGAAAACAAUCCCUUCGGGGUGCGUCUUCGGGCGUCGAGUGGCGGACGGGUGCGUAACGCGUAGGAAUCUACCUUAUAGUGGGGGACAACUCGAGGAAACUCGAGCUAAUACCGCAUAAUCCUUACGAGGGAAGGCAGGGGAUCUUCGGACCUUGUGCUAUUAGAUGAGCCUGCGUCGGAUUAGCUUGUUGGUAGGGUAAUGGCCUACCAAGGCAACGAUCCGUAGCUGGUCUGAGAGGACGACCAGCCACACUGGGACUGAGACACGGCCCAGACUCCUACGGGAGGCAGCAGUGGGGAAUAUUGCACAAUGGGGGCAACCCUGAUGCAGCAAUGCCGCGUGUGUGAAGAAGGCCUGCGGGUUGUAAAGCACUUUCAAUUGGGAAGAAAAGGCGAGGGUGAAUAGCCCUUGUUCUUGACGUUACCUUUAGAAGAAGCACCGGCUAACUCCGUGCCAGCAGCCGCGGUAAUACGGAGGGUGCGAGCGUUAAUCGGAAUUACUGGGCGUAAAGCGCGCGUAGGCGGUUCAGUCAGUCAGAUGUGAAAGCCCUGGGCUCAACCUGGGAACUGCAUUUGAUACUGCUGGACUGGAGUAUGGUAGAGGGAAGUGGAAUUCCGGGUGUAGCGGUGAAAUGCGUAGAUAUCCGGAGGAACACCAGUGGCGAAGGCGACUUCCUGGACCAAUACUGACGUUGAGGUGCGAAAGCGUGGGUAGCAAACAGGAUUAGAUACCCUGGUAGUCCACGCUGUAAACGAUGUCAACUAGCCGUUGGGGACGUUAAAGUUCUUAGUGGCGCAGCUAACGCGAUAAGUUGACCGCCUGGGGAGUACGGCCGCAAGGUUAAAACUCAAAGGAAUUGACGGGGGCCCGCACAAGCGGUGGAGCAUGUGGUUUAAUUCGAUGCAACGCGAAGAACCUUACCAGCCCUUGACAUCCUGCGAACAAUCUAGAGAUAGGUUGGUGCCUUCGGGAGCGCAGUGACAGGUGCUGCAUGGCUGUCGUCAGCUCGCGUCGUGAGAUGUUGGGUUAAGUCCCGUAACGAGCGCAACCCUUGUCCUCAGUUGCCAGCGGUUCGGCCGGGAACUCUGGGGAGACUGCCGGUGAUAAGCCGGAGGAAGGUGGGGAUGACGUCAAGUCAUCAUGGCCCUUAUGGGCUGGGCUACACACGUGCUACAAUGGCCGGUACAGAGGGCGGCGACCCCGUGAGGGUGAGCGAAUCUCAGAAAACCGGUCGUAGUCCGGAUUGCAGUCUGCAACUCGACUGCAUGAAGUCGGAAUCGCUAGUAAUCGCGAAUCAGCAUGUCGCGGUGAAUACGUUCCCGGGCCUUGUACACACCGCCCGUCACACCAUGGGAGUGGGUUGCAAAAGAAGUGGGUAGUCUAACCUUCGGGGGGGCGCUCACCACUUUGUGAUUCAUGACUGGGGUGAAGUCGUAACAAGGUA
rnacentral:rRNA from 1 species